rnacentral:lncRNA from 1 species
CAACAGUAGUAUACCGCUGUUCAAAACUCAUAAAUCCAUGGACAAAAACAAAAUCGGGGUAACAAACUAAAACCGAGGGAAACGCAUUAAAUAUAAGAGGAGAACAACGACAUAACACCGAAACGUAACACACACAGAAACGGACCAAGCAUCAGACAAAACACCACGAGAAUAACAAAUAUAACAUGAAAACCAAAUACAUGAAUUUUGGGAUAGACAAGUACCGUGCCACGUCUUAUCUCAAUUUCUUCAAAAAUAAGAGAAAAACAAACGACUCAACGUUAAAAUGCAACACACACAGAAAC